GAUGAACGCUAGCGGCAGGCCUAAUACAUGCAAGUCGAACGAGAUUAAGAGGCUUGCUUCUUAUGAAAGUGGCGCACGGGUGCGUAACGCGUAUGCAACCUACCUUAAUCAGGGGGAUAGCCCGAAGAAAUUCGGAUUAAGACCGCAUAAAAACACAGGAUAGCAUUAUCCAAUGUUCAAAUAUUUAUAGGAUUAAGAUGGGCAUGCGUGUCAUUAGCUAGUUGGCGGGGUAACGGCCCACCAAGGCGACGAUGACUAGGGGAUCUGAGAGGAUGACCCCCCACACUGGUACUGAGACACGGACCAGACUCCUACGGGAGGCAGCAGUAAGGAAUAUUGGUCAAUGGAGGGAACUCUGAACCAGCCAUGCCGCGUGCAGGAAGACAGCCCUCUGGGUCGUAAACUGCUUUUAUUAGGGAAUAAACCUUUCUACGUGUAGGAAGCUGAAUGUACCGAAGGAAUAAGGAUCGGCUAACUCCGUG
rnacentral:rRNA from 1 species